GAUGAACGCUGGCGGCGUGCUUAACACAUGCAAGUCGAACGGUGAAAGAGAGCUUGCUCUCUGGAUCAGUGGCGAACGGGUGAGUAACACGUGAGCAAUCUGCCCCUGACUCUGGGAUAAGCGCUGGAAACGGCGUCUAAUACCGGAUACGAGCUGCGAAGGCAUCUUCAGCAGCUGGAAAGAAUUUCGGUCAGGGAUGAGCUCGCGGCCUAUCAGCUUGUUGGUGAGGUAACGGCUCACCAAGGCGUCGACGGGUAGCCGGCCUGAGAGGGUGACCGGCCACACUGGGACUGAGACACGGCCCAGACUCCUACGGGAGGCAGCAGUGGGGAAUAUUGCACAAUGGGCGCAAGCCUGAUGCAGCAACGCCGCGUGAGGGACGACGGCCUUCGGGUUGUAAACCUCUUUUAGCAGGGAAGAAGCGAAAGUGACGGUACCUGCAGAAAAAGCACCGGCUAACUACGUGCCAGCAGCCGCCGUAACAC
rnacentral:rRNA from 1 species